rnacentral:rRNA from 1 species
GAUGAACGCUGGCGGCGUGCCUAAUACAUGCAAGUCGAGCGAACGGACGAGAAGCUUGCUUCUCUGAUGUUAGCGGCGGACGGGUGAGUAACACGUGGAUAACCUACCUAUAAGACUGGGAUAACUUCGGGAAACCGGAGCUAAUACCGGAUAAUAUUUUGAACCGCAUGGUUCAAAAGUGAAAGACGGUCUUGCUGUCACUUAUAGAUGGAUCCGCGCUGCUUUAGCUAGUUGGUAAGGUAACGGCUUACCAAGGCAACGAUGCAUAGCCGAACUGAGAGGGUGAUCAGCCACACUGGAACUGAGACACGGUCCAGACUCCAACGGGAGGCAGCAGUAGGGAAUCUUCCGCAAUGGGCGAAAGCCUGACGAAGCAACGCCGCGUGAGUGAUGAAGGUCUUCGGAUCGUAAAACUGUGUUAUUAGGGAAGAACAUAUGUGUAAGUAACUGUGCACAUCUUGACGGUACCUAAUCAAAAAGCAACGGCUAACUACGUG